rnacentral:lncRNA from 1 species
CUCCCAUGACAACAUCACAAGUUUCAGAGAUGACAAGGAAAAUCUUCAUUACCAUUUCAAGAACUGGGAACAAAGAAAAAUCCCGUUCCAGGACGCAAAGGAGGAGAUGCGGGUAGCUGAACAGAAACUUUUGAAGAUUACCAUGGGAAUACACCUGUGAACUUCCAGGUUUGAUCUCAGUUACUCCCUUACUUGAAGAAGGCUUCGAUGAUUCCUCAUGGAGAAAUCCCAGAUACUUCUGCACAUGAUUCA